GCCUAACACAUGCAAGUGAACGGUAACAGAUCUCGCUUGCGAGAUGCUGACGAGUGGCGCACGGGUGCGUAACGCGUAUGCAAUCUACCUUUAACUGAGGAAUAGCCCAGAGAAAUUUGGAUUAAUACCUCAUAGUAUUAUUUAUAGGCAUCUAUUAAUAAUUAAAACUCCGGUGGUUAAAGAUGAGCAUGCGUCCUAUUAGCUAGUUGGUAAGGUAAAAGCUUACCAAGGCUACGAUAGGUAGGGGGCCUGAGAGGGUGACCCCCCACACUGGUACUGAGACACGGACCAGACUCCUACGGGAGGCAGCAGUGAGGAAUAUUGCGCAAUGGAGGAAACUCUGACGCAGCCAUGCCGCGUGCAGGAUGAAUGCCCUAUGGGUUGUAAACUGCUUUUCUGCAAGAAGAAUCCUUAGCACGUGUACUAAGCUGACGGUAUUGCAGNAAUAAGCACCGGGUAA
rnacentral:rRNA from 1 species